UACAGAGGUCUCGAGCGUUAGUCGGAGUCACUGGGCUUAAAGCGUACGUAGGCGGAUAUGCAGGCGUCGUGUGAAAUCCCUUGGCUCAACCAAGGAACUGCACGGCGAACCGCAUGUCUUGAGAUCGGUAGGGGGCGGUCGGAACGAUAGGUGGAGUGGUGAAAUGCGUUGAUAUCUAUCGGAACGCCGAAGGUGAAAGCAGGCCGCUGGGCCGAUUCUGACGCUGAGGUACGAAAGCGUGGGGGAGCGAACGGG
rnacentral:rRNA from 1 species